UACGUAGGGUGCAAGCGUUGUCCGGAAUUAUUGGGCGUAAAGAGCUCGUAGGCGGUCUGUCGCGUCGGAUGUGAAAACCCAGGGCUCAACCCUGGGCCUGCAUUCGAUACGGGCAGACUGAGGUAUGCGGGGGAGAACGUGAAUUCCUGGUGUAGCGGUGAAAUGCGCAGAUAUCAGGAAGAACACCCGUGGCUAAGGCGGCUCUCUAGUACGGUACUGACGCUGAGACGCGAAAGCGUGGGGAGCGAACAGG
rnacentral:rRNA from 1 species